rnacentral:rRNA from 1 species
CAGCACGUGGACUUCGGUCUGGUGGCGAGAGUGGCGAACGGGUGAGUAAUGACUGAACGUGCCUAGUAGUGGGGAUAACUACGAAAGGUGGCUAAUACCGCAUAAUAUCCUUCGGGGGAAAGCGGGACCGGGCCUCGCACUAUUAGAGCGGCCGAUAUCGAAUUAAGAAGGUGGGCAACGGCUCACCAAGGCGACGAUCCGUAGCUGGUUUGAGAGGAUUCAGCCACAUCGGGACUGGAGACAUACCCAGACUCCUACGGGAGGCAGCAGUGGGGAAUUUUGUCCAAUGGGGAACUGAUCCAGCCAUCCCGCGUGCGAUGAAGGCCUUCGGGUUGUAAAGCACUUUCGCAGGAAAGAAACGGUACCGGGAUAAUACCCCGUGCAACUGACGGUACCUGCAGAAUAAGCACCGGCUAACUACGUGCCAGCAGCCGCGGUAAUACGUAGGGUGCAAGCGUUAAUCGGAAUUACUGGGCGUAAAGCGCAGGCGGUUCGGAAAGAAAGAUGGGAACUUGAGCUUAACCUUUGGAACUGCAUUUUUAACUACCGAGCUAGAGUGUCAGAGGGAGGUGGAAUUCCGCGUGUAGCAGUAAAAUGCGUAGAUAUGCGAGUGAACACCGAUGGCGAAGGCAGCCUCCUGGGAUAACACUGACGCUCAUGCACGAAAGCGUGGGGAGCAAACAGGAUUAGAUACCCUGGUAGUCCACGCCCCUAAAUGGCAGAUGUCAACUAGCUGUUGGGGCUCGGCUUGCAUGCAGACUGCGUGAAGCUGACCGCCUGGGGAGAACAUGCAAGAUUAAAACUCAAAGGAAUUGAUGGGACUCCGCACAAGCGGUGUGGAUGAUGUGGAUUAAUUCGAUGCAACGCGAAAAAACCUACCUACCCUUGACAUGUCUGGAAUCCCGAAGAGAUUUGGGAGUGCUCGCAAGAGAACCGGAACACAGGUGCUGCAUGGCUGUCGUCAGCUCGUGUCGUGAGAUGUUGGGUUAAGUCCCGCAACGAGCGCAACCCUUGUCAUUAGUUGCUACGAAAGGGCACUCUAAUGAGACUGUCGGUGACAAACCGGAGGAAGGUGGGGAUGACGCCAAGUCCUCAUGGCCCUUAUGGGUAGGGCUUCACACGUCAUACAAUGGUCGGGACAGAGGGUCGCCAACCCGCGAGGGGGAGCCAAUCCCAGAAACCUGAUCGUAGUCCGGAUCGCAGUCUGCAACUCGACUGCGUGAAGUCGGAAUCGCUAGUAAUCGCGGAUCAGCAUGUCAAGUAGAAUAUGUUCGGUCUUGUACACACCGUCCGUCACACCAUGGGAGUGGGUUUACCAGAAAGUAGCUAGGCCUAACCGUAAGGAGGGCGAUUACCACGGUAGGACUCAUGACUGUGGGUGAAGUCGUAACAAGGUA